rnacentral:rRNA from 1 species
GUGACUCUUCGGAGUUUGCAUUGUUAAAUAUGCUAGUCCUUUCAUGAUUAUGUGAUAGGUGGUGCAUGGCCGUUCUUAGUUCGUGGAGUGAUCUGUCUGCUUAAUUGCGUUUCAAAUUACUUAUAAGGUAGCAAUACGCGAUGAAACUUUCAAUAGUCCUCACGGAUUCACUUGAGUCUCUCGCUUCGCUAUCCUUUCGAAUGCAACGAACGUGACCGCAACCUCUUGUUGCCUUCGUUUAACAUCCUGCAGCUCGCUGUGGGUACUGAGGGCUUCACUCGGUGACUUUGGGCUGAGCAAUCGGUCUUUUGAUCUGAGUAAACUAGAGGGACCGCUGUCAACUUCUUAAACCAGAGGAAGGUUGCGGCAAUAACAGGUCUGUGAUGCCCUUAGAUGUUCCGGGCUGCACACGUGCUACAAUGAUCGUAGCAGUGAGCAUCUUAUUUGAUUUACUUAACACCGCAUACGUGAGUACCAACUAGCUUAGCAAUAAGUCAAGUAGUUCUCUACGCAGCGGUAACAGCCUGCUUCGAGAGCAAGUGGGUAAUCAAUUAAAGUAACGAUUUCUU